GAUGAACGCUGGCGGCGUGCUUAACACAUGCAAGUCGAACGAAGAUGCCGGAGUGCUUGCACUUUGGCAGACUGAGUGGCGGACGGGUGAGUAACGCGUGGGUAACCUGCCUUAUACAGGGGGAUAACAGUUGGAAACGACUGCUAAUACCGCAUAAGCGCACGGUAUCGCAUGAUACAGUGUGAAAAACUCCGGUGGUAUAAGAUGGACCCGCGUCUGAUUAGCUUGUUGGUGAGGUAACGGCCCACCAAGGCGACGAUCAGUAGCCGGCCUGAGAGGGUGAACGGCCACAUUGGGACUGAGACACGGCCCAAACUCCUACGGGAGGCAGCAGUGGGGAAUAUUGCACAAUGGGGGGAAACCCUGAUGCAGCGACGCCGCGUGAGUGAUGAAGUAUUUCGGUAUGUAAAACUCUAUCAGCAGGGAAGAUAAUGACGGUACCUGACCAAGAAGCACCGGCUAAAUACGUGCCAGCAGCCGC
rnacentral:rRNA from 1 species